rnacentral:misc_RNA from 1 species
AAGUCGUAACAAGGUCUCCGUAGGUGAACCUGCGGAGGGAUCAUUACCAGAGAUGGCGGGGCCUCCGGGCCCCCGUCCCCAACCCAUUUGUUGGACCAAAACCUUCUUGCCUCGGGGGGCAGACGUCCGCCGCCGCCCCCGGAGGACCACCGAACGCUGUCUCUUUACGUCGGAGUAUUGAUUGAAUAAAUGAAAA